rnacentral:rRNA from 1 species
AGUAUUUUGACUAUACAAAGGUAUUGAAAUAAGACUUUAAUUGAGUGCUAAGAGAAUGGAAUUUCAUAAAAUUUCUUUUUUAAUUUUAAAAAUUGAAAUUAAUUUUAUAUGUGAAGAAACAAUAAUAAAAAUUAAGGACAAGAAGACCCUAAGAAUUUUAAAGAUUUCAAUAAAAUACAAAAUUUUAUUGAAAUCUUUUAAUUGGGGCGAUUAUUAAAUAUUAAAAACUUUAAUUUUUUUAAAAAAGAACCAAUAAUAUUGGUUAUUUGAAAAAAUACUCUAGGGAUAACAGCGUAAUAAUUUUUGAUAGUUCUUAUAGACAAAAUAGUUUGCGACCUCGAUGUUGGAUUAGGAUUCUUUUUUAAUGAAGAAGUUAAAAAAAGAAGUUUGUUCAACUUUUAAAAUCCU